rnacentral:lncRNA from 1 species
AAAGGAGGAUGUUGCUGAUCUCAGUACAAGCAAUGUUAGAGAAAGGGGAAGAUGGAAGUGGACGAGGACCAGUGAGUGGAAGGUGACAAAUGGAAGCAAAGAAACCCAUCCAGACCAUUGAAGAUGCUUGAGCGAGAAGAAAGAGGCGGUGGAGGGAAUGGAAGCCCGAGGAAGUCAUUUGUUGCAAUAGGAUGCCUCAGAGCACGUGUAGGGUGCGGGGCAGAGCCCAUGCAGAGGGGCUGUGGAAGGCUGGCAGGGUGCAGGUGGCCCCACUCUCCGUCACCCUGAGGAAUAUGUGGUCAGAGUUAAAGCUCAGUCUGUUUCUGGGAUCAGUAUUUUGUCAUGGCAGCCCUAGCAAACUACUACAGGGACUGUGAGGGUUAAGAUGACACCAAACAUCAAAUGCCACUCCCUGUUCCAACACUGAGACCAUUCCACAGCCUCUGAAUGACAAGACAGGCCUUCAAAAUCAAGACCACCUGGCUAGAUUCUGGAUAUUA